GACGAACACUGGCGGCGUGCUUAACACAUGCAAGUCGAGCGGUAAGGCCCUUCGGGUACGACGAGCGGCGAACGGGUGAGUAACACGUGGGUGACCUGCCUCUAGCUCUGGGAGUAAGCCUGGGAAACGUAGGGUCGUAAUACCGGAUACGACUCCACGGCGCAUGUUGUGGGGUGGAAAGCCUUGUGUGGCUAGAGAUGGGCCCGCGGCCUAUCAGCUUGUUGGUGGGGUGAGGCCUACCAAGG
rnacentral:rRNA from 1 species